rnacentral:lncRNA from 1 species
GGUGGGAGGACGGCUUCGGCUGUACAGGCAUGCCCGAGGGUGCUGGUACAUCGCAAGGCAGUUUAAAACCACUGGACCGAACAGAUCUAAGGUCAAAUUUAGUCAGUUAUGAUUAGUGCAACCCCCAGUUAUUUACUUGAGAUUUAGGGAUAGUUAGGGAGACAAGGAGAUGAAAUAGAAGAAAAAUAUUCCCAGGCAUCCUGAGGCCUCCCCCAGCUGCAGGCACAGACUGUGGGCACCAGCCAACCUGGGCACCAACUGACUGAAACCCCUCACUGAGCCUCGCUAAGCCCUGUGCCCUGCUGUACAGCUGCCCCAAAGCUGUGGGGUUCCCUGAUCCAGUAUGUGUUGAUGGGCUCUCCAUUUUCUCUGAUAUCUCCCCAGGUAUUCAUAUGCUGCACGGGGGUCUGGAUGUCUCCAGCAGUGGCACAGCAGCCUGAUGCCUCUUCUUGUCUGGGACAUGGGAUCCUCCACAGCUCUUCUGGGGUAUGGAGUCCUUGGGUGGCCCACUGAAGGGGGACAUCUUGAAGAGAAGCAGCUAGACGUCAUGAUGCAGUUGUUCAUUUUGGUCAUCGCCUCUGAGGCAAGCAUCCAAGUACAGGAGGAAUAAUCUAGGAGAUGUAUCAAAAAGGUAAUAGGUUUGAAACAGAGGCAGGCAAAUUAAGUGCUAUCAUUCUUCCAUGUAGUUAAAGACUGAGAGAAUUGUUGGUUAAGGACGUGUAUACAAGGGUUUGAGAAAGCAUAUUGAACAGUAUAAUAAUACUGAACCAGAAUAAGGUUUCAUGGGAUAUGGCUAGGUGUGUAUUAGGUGAUGUGCCUGCCUGUCUAAUAACCUAUCCCUAAUUGCUGUAUGUAAUGUUUCCAAACUGUUUAUCCUGUAAUGUAUGAUGCAAAGCGCUGUAUUAAGACCUUUCUUUUAAGGAAAAGAAGAAAAAGAACAUGGUAAAAAGAAAAACACCAUGCAUGAAUUUGUGUUUCAUUGAAGGUAAAAUGCAAGUUUAUCUGUUUGUUACAGAGAUGGAAGCAAUGAUAGCAAAUGCUGACAAAGAGAAAAGAUGGACAAGCGGUUUUUUGUGAUUAAUACCUAAUGGACUGGAUGAAACAAG